rnacentral:lncRNA from 7 species
AGAAAUGAAGUCAAUUGUAGAGACUGCUGUAAAUGACUUCAGUGGAGUUGAAGAAAAGGCAUCUAUUGCUGCAGUCUUCCCUGGACUUCAACAGGAAGUUUGAGCCUCUACUAUCAUACCACAAACAUCUGCCUCUGAUGUGGGAAAGCAUAACAAAACAGGAGGUUCUGGAACAGUCCUCAAACAAGCUUCACAAACCUGGAGAUCUGAGUACCGUAAGCUUGAGGUUAGUAACUGUUUCACUGCCGACUAAAGAGAUAACUUCUUUGCAGUAAUUGAGAGUCUGCAAAAUGAAAUGCUACUGUCAUGUAAAACAUCUGACCUUUACAGUUGAGACAACAAGAACGUGCUAAAGUAUGCCAAGAAAAUAUUGCUGUUACAAAGGAUUCAAUAAACUACAUAAGCUGAUAUUCUUUAUGCUCUCAAGUAGAACUACUUGGACUGAGGGAGCAUGAUGAUAUGAUUCAGAAUACCGAAGUGCGCUGAUGUAAAAGAAGCUACUCCAGGACUGCCAUGUGUCAACAUAGCUUCUGAUGGAGAAAUGAAGACACACAAAAAAAUGUUUUCAGUGAACAUUAAAGAUGCAUGCUUCAUUGUACAAAUAAUAUAUAAACAUAUAUCUUUUUUAACUUUUAUGUUUUGCUCCAUGUAGUUGUGAAUCACAGUCUUAUUUUGCAAAGAGAAUUACAAGGUUAUAAAUACAUAGAACGAUACGUCCUUUAAAAUUGGAUUUGUAAAACUAUUGUUCACAAUAUGCAAUAUGAAUUCCCUUUUGAAGAAACACAGAAAAUAAAUAAAUAAAUAAAGAUAUCCAGGGGU